UAGGGAAUCUUCCACAAUGGACGCAAGUCUGAUGGAGCAACGCCGCGUGAGUGAAGAAGGUUUUCGGAUCGUAAAGCUCUGUUGUUGGUGAAGAAGGAUAGAGGCAGUAACUGGUCUUUAUUUGACGGUAAUCAACCAGAAAGUCACGGCUAACUACGUGCCAGCAGCCGCGGUAAUACGUAGGUGGCAAGCGUUGUCCGGAUUUAUUGGGCGUAAAGCGAGCGCAGGCGGAAUGAUAAGUCUGAUGUGAAAGCCCACGGCUCAACCGUGGAACUGCAUCGGAAACUGUCAUUCUUGAGUGCAGAAGAGGGGAGUGGAAUUCCAUGUGUAGCGGUGGAAUGCGUAGGUAUAUGGAAGAACACCAGUGGCGAAGGCGGCUCUCUGGUCUGCAACUGACGCUGAGGCUCGAAAACAUGGGUAGCGAACAGG
rnacentral:rRNA from 1 species